CCUACGGGAGGCAGCAGUGGGAAUUUUUGGCAAUUGGCGCAAGCCUUAACCAGCAACACCGCGUUAAGGAAGACGGCUUUCGGGUUUUAAACUUCUUUUGACCGGGAAGAGAAGAAGCCGGUACCUUUCGAAUAAGCCACUGCUAACUACGUGCCAGCAGCCUCGGUAAUACGUAGGUGGCAAGCUUUGUCCGGAUUUACUGGGUGUAAAGGGCGUUUAGCCGGGCUGACAAGUCAGAUGUGAAAUCCGGGGGCUCAACCCCCGAACUGCAUUUGAAACUGUUGGUCUUGAGUAUCGGAGAGGCAGGCGGAAUUCGUAGUGUAGCGGUGAAAUGCGUAGAUAUUAGGAGGAACACCAGUGGCGAAGGCGGCCUGCUGGACGACAACUGACGGUGAGGCGCGAAAGCGUGGGGAGCAAACAGGAUUAGAUACCCCAGUAGUC
rnacentral:rRNA from 1 species